rnacentral:miRNA from 1 species
UAUGUGACCUCGGAUGAAUCA